CAUUAAACCCUUUGUCCCAACACCCUCUACGCCCAAUUCAACCAUGGCGCUGAAGCAUCUCCUAGCUCUAGCCCGCCGAUCCCACAGACCUUCACCAUCGGCUCUUUCCGCCAUCCGAGCCUCGUCAACCGCCGUCGCCUCUUCCUCGCCAUCUACUCCUUCCGCCCCUCCUCCUCCAAAUGCCAUGAUCUACGACCGUCUCGCUGAAUCAGUCAAAUCCAAGCUCAAACAGCUCGAGAAUCCUGACCCGAGGUUCCUCAAAUACGGGUCCCCUCACCCGACUCUUGCAACCCAUACCCAUAUCCUCUCUGCUCCCGAAACCCGCAUCACCACGCUCCCCAACGGUCUCCGCGUCGCGACGGAGUCCACUCUCGCUUCAAAAACAGCUACUGUUGGGGUCUGGAUCGACGCUGGGUCUCGCUUCGAGACUGAGGAUACUAACGGAACGGCACAUUUUCUAGAGCACAUGAUUUUCAAGGGCACCGAGAGGAGGUCUGCGAGAGACCUUGAGGAGGAGAUCGAGAACAUGGGUGGCCAUUUGAAUGCCUACACUAGUAGGGAACAAACUACUUAUUAUGCCAAAGUUAUGGACAAGGAUGUGAACAAGGCAUUGGAUAUUUUAGCUGAUAUAUUGCAGAACUCGAAAUUCGACGAGAACCGGAUUAGUCGCGAGAGGGAUGUGAUUUUGAGGGAAAUGGAAGAGGUUGAGGGGCAAACAGAGGAAGUCAUCUUCGACCAUUUGCAUGCAACUGCAUUCCAGUAUACUCCUUUAGGUAGAACCAUUCUUGGACCAGCUAAAAAUGUCAGGUCAAUUACCAGAGAUCAUCUUCAGAGCUACAUACAAACACACUACACUGCUCCCCGAAUGGUCAUUGUAGCUUCUGGAGCGGUUAAGCAUGAGGAAGUUGUUGAGCAAGUAAAGAAGUUGUUUAAUAAGUUAUCAGCUGAUCCAACCACUGCUUCUCAGCUAGUUGCCAAACAACCAGCUUUUUUUACUGGAUCAGAGGUUAGGAUAAUUGAUGAUGAUAUUCCUUUGGCACAAUUUGCUGUUGCUUUUGAAGGAGCAUCCUGGACAGAUCCAGAUUCUAUUGCUCUAAUGGUCAUGCAGGCUAUGCUUGGUUCAUGGAAUAAAAAUGCUGGAGGUGGAAAGCACAUGGGUUCUGAGCUUGCACAAAGGGUUGGCAUUAAUGAAAUAGCAGAAAGCAUGAUGGCUUUUAACACCAACUACAAAGACACUGGCCUGUUUGGUGUUUAUGCUGUUGCUAAGGCAGAUUGCUUGGAUGAUUUAGCCUGGGCAAUUAUGUAUGAGACAACCAAGUUAAGUUAUCGAGUUUCUGAAGCUGAUGUCACACGUGCUCGUAAUCAGGUAGCCAUCGAUUCAUAUUUUUAUAUAUCUUUGGUUUUCUAAGAAAGGCUGUAACUUGUCAAUCCAAUAAAUUUAUAUUAAUUUAAAAUUUUAAUUAUUUUAUUCUAUAAUUUGCAUAAAUUAUUUUAAAAUUUCACUAUUGAAUCCUAGCAAGAUUUUGACUAUUGGAUUAGGUAAUAUUCUUCUUAAGAUCAAAUGAUGCAUUGAUGAUUUUUUAUGCUUAUUUACUUUAAUUGAAAUUACAUGCUUAAUGCAAAUUUAUAAUCUUUUAAAAGAAGUAAAUUCAAGUAUAGGAAUACUGACAAAGCCAAAGAAAAGGGCCAAGAUGAAGGAUUUUUUUUUUCCCCGCUGUCUCGUUUCAUUUGGAGGAACAAUGCUAGGAAGAUAGGUUUUAGUAUAUAUAAUGAUAUAUUUAUAUAUUGAUACUUAAGUGUGUUAUGUGGACCAUGAAAUUUCUUGUUCCCUAAUCUCCUAUAAUUUAGCUAUUAUCAACUUACUGAUAUAUCUGAUUGCAGUUGAAAUCAUCAUUGCUACUUCACAUUGAUGGAACCAGUCCUGUAGCUGAAGAUAUUGGACGCCAGCUACUUACAUAUGGUCGGAGAAUUCCGUUUGCUGAAUUGUUCGCUAGAAUUGAUGCUGUUGAUGCAAGUAGUAUUAAACGCGUAGCAAACAGAUUUAUUCAUGACAAGGAUAUUGCAAUUGCUGCCACGGGUCCUAUCCAGGGGUUGCCUGACUACAACUGGUUCAGACGCAGGACCUACUUGAACCGCUACUAGACUCUCAGGCUUUUGUUUUAUUACAGCUUUGCUACAUUAUUGGGCGAUUACAAACAUGUUGCUGCGUUUACGGCGCAGCCGACAUCUUCUUGUGGGGUUUUUGGGGGGAGGGGGAGCCCCCAAAGGCUGGAAUUUUCAAAUCAUUUUUUUUUUUUUUUUUUUGUGGAAGACGUCUCUUCUUCUUCUUCUAAAAAUCUAAGGAACAGAACAGAAGUGAGAUUGGGCUGAUCUUGAAAGAAUUAAUGGUUAUGUUUCUAG
rnacentral:misc_RNA from 1 species